rnacentral:rRNA from 1 species
GUUAAGCGACUAAGCGUACACGGUGGAUGCCCUGGCAGUCAGAGGCGAUGAAGGACGUGCUAAUCUGCGAUAAGCGUCGGUAAGGUGAUAUGAACCGUUAUAACCGGCGAUUUCCGAAUGGGGAAACCCAGUGUGUUUCGACACACUAUCAUUAACUGAAUCCAUAGGUUAAUGAGGCGAACCGGGGGAACUGAAACAUCUAAGUACCCCGAGGAAAAGAAAUCAACCGAGAUUCCCCCAGUAGCGGCGAGCGAACGGGGAGGAGCCCAGAGCCUGAAUCAGUGUGUGUGUUAGUGGAAGCGUCUGGAAAGGCGCGCGAUACAGGGUGACAGCCCCGUACACAAAAAUGCACAUACUGUGAGCUCGAUGAGUAGGGCGGGACACGUGGUAUCCUGUCUGAAUAUGGGGGGACCAUCCUCCAAGGCUAAAUACUCCUGACUGACCGAUAGUGAACCAGUACCGUGAGGGAAAGGCGAAAAGAACCCCGGCGAGGGGAGUGAAAAAGAACCUGAAACCGUGUACGUACAAGCAGUGGGAGCCUCUUUUAUGGGGUGACUGCGUACCUUUUGUAUAAUGGGUCAGCGACUUAUAUUCUGUAGCAAGGUUAACCGAAUAGGGGAGCCGAAGGGAAACCGAGUCUUAACUGGGCGUUAAGUUGCAGGGUAUAGACCCGAAACCCGGUGAUCUAGCCAUGGGCAGGUUGAAGGUUGGGUAACACUAACUGGAGGACCGAACCGACUAAUGUUGAAAAAUUAGCGGAUGACUUGUGGCUGGGGGUGAAAGGCCAAUCAAACCGGGAGAUAGCUGGUUCUCCCCGAAAGCUAUUUAGGUAGCGCCUCGUGAACUCAUCUCCGGGGGUAGAGCACUGUUUCGGCAAGGGGGUCAUCCCGACUUACCAACCCGAUGCAAACUGCGAAUACCGGAGAAUGUUAUCACGGGAGACACACGGCGGGUGCUAACGUCCGUCGUGAAGAGGGAAACAACCCAGACCGCCAGCUAAGGUCCCAAAGUCAUGGUUAAGUGGGAAACGAUGUGGGAAGGCCCAGACAGCCAGGAUGUUGGCUUAGAAGCAGCCAUCAUUUAAAGAAAGCGUAAUAGCUCACUGGUCGAGUCGGCCUGCGCGGAAGAUGUAACGGGGCUAAACCAUGCACCGAAGCUGCGGCAGCGACACUAUGUGUUGUUGGGUAGGGGAGCGUUCUGUAAGCCUGUGAAGGUGUGCUGUGAGGCAUGCUGGAGGUAUCAGAAGUGCGAAUGCUGACAUAAGUAACGAUAAAGCGGGUGAAAAGCCCGCUCGCCGGAAGACCAAGGGUUCCUGUCCAACGUUAAUCGGGGCAGGGUGAGUCGACCCCUAAGGCGAGGCCGAAAGGCGUAGUCGAUGGGAAACAGGUUAAUAUUCCUGUACUUGGUGUUACUGCGAAGGGGGGACGGAGAAGGCUAUGUUGGCCGGGCGACGGUUGUCCCGGUUUAAGCGUGUAGGCUGGUUUUCCAGGCAAAUCCGGAAAAUCAAGGCUGAGGCGUGAUGACGAGGCACUACGGUGCUGAAGCAACAAAUGCCCUGCUUCCAGGAAAAGCCUCUAAGCAUCAGGUAACAUCAAAUCGUACCCCAAACCGACACAGGUGGUCAGGUAGAGAAUACCAAGGCGCUUGAGAGAACUCGGGUGAAGGAACUAGGCAAAAUGGUGCCGUAACUUCGGGAGAAGGCACGCUGAUAUGUAGGUGAAGUCCCUCGCGGAUGGAGCUGAAAUCAGUCGAAGAUACCAGCUGGCUGCAACUGUUUAUUAAAAACACAGCACUGUGCAAACACGAAAGUGGACGUAUACGGUGUGACGCCUGCCCGGUGC